rnacentral:rRNA from 1 species
AGGCGGCGUAAGCUGUCGCUAUGGGAUGGCCCCGCGGUGCANUAGCUAGUUGGUAAGGUAACGGCUUACCAAGGCGAUGAUGCAUAGCCGAGUUGAGAGACUGAUCGGCCACAUUGGGACUGAGACACGGCCCAAACUCCUACGGGAGGCAGCAGUAGGGAAUCUUCCACAAUGGACGCAAGUCUGAUGGAGCAACGCCGCGUGAGUGAAGAAGGUUUUCGGAUCGUAAAGCUCUGUUGUUGGUGAAGAAGGAUAGAGGUAGUAACUGNCCUUUAU